GGAGGAAAGCCAUGUGUCGUAGUUUUAGGAUUUAGUCGUUAAUGACAGUUAUGUUAUUUAUGUAUAUAUAGGGUAGUUAUUAUCUAAAAAGGGUGUGAAGAAUUACUAUAUGCAAAAUUCCUGAAAACACUCAAAGUACCCGUGUGAGAGAAAAGAGUCAUAUUUGGAAAAUGUAUGUGUAAACAAACACCAAUUCUUUCAAAGUUUAUUUUAUAAAGUCUAAAAUUCUUUACAAAUCUCUUUUAUGCUUUCCAGUCAUUUAUCUUUCUGCACUUUAUCCUUUUCGACACUUUACGUUUCAUCAGUUAUUUUCCGCCAUUUACUUUAUCUUGUUAAAUUUACAUCCACUUAACAUUGUAAUCAACACAUUUCGACGUAAAACGCUUAGAGAACAGGAAUGAAAUAUUCAAAAGCGAUUUUAGACAUCUUCAAGACCAUCUAGAUUUGCACAUGUCCUAGGAUUUGUGUGGUUGAUCCUGCAAGUGACCCAAUUCUACAAGUUUUGGUAAACCAGAGGUUGUUCGCCAAAUUUCACAGCGAACAA
rnacentral:lncRNA from 1 species